rnacentral:rRNA from 4 species
GGGGGGAACUGGGCGGCGUGCCUAUACAUGCAAGUCGAACGAGUUCUCGUUGAUGAUCGGUGCUUGCACCGAGAUUCAACAUGGAACGAGUGGCGGACGGGUGAGUAACACGUGGGUAACCUGCCCUUAAGUGGGGGAUAACAUUUGGAAACAGAUGCUAAUACCGCAUAGAUCCAAGAACCGCAUGGUUCUUGGCUGAAAGAUGGCGUAAGCUAUCGCUUUUGGAUGGACCCGCGGCGUAUUAGCUAGUUGGUGAGGUAAUGGCUCACCAAGGCGAUGAUACGUAGCCGAACUGAGAGGUUGAUCGGCCACAUUGGGACUGAGACACGGCCCAAACUCCUACGGGAGGCAGCAGUAGGGAAUCUUCCACAAUGGACGCAAGUCUGAUGGAGCAACGCCGCGUGAGUGAAGAAGGCUUUCGGGUCGUAAAACUCUGUUGUUGGAGAAGAAUGGUCGGCAGAGUAACUGUUGUCGGCGUGACGGUAUCCAACCAGAAAGCCACGGCUAACUACGUGCCAGCAGCCGCGGUAAUACGUAGGUGGCAAGCGUUAUCCGGAUUUAUUGGGCGUAAAGCGAGCGCAGGCGGUUUUUUAAGUCUGAUGUGAAAGCCCUCGGCUUARCCGAGGAAGCGCAUCGGAAACUGGGAAACUUGAGUGCAGAAGAGGACAGUGGAACUCCAUGUGUAGCGGUGAAAUGCGUAGAUAUAUGGAAGAACACCAGUGGCGAAGGCGGCUGUCUGGUCUGUAACUGACGCUGAGGCUCGAAAGCAUGGGUAGCGAACAGGAUUAGAUACCCUGGUAGUCCAUGCCGUAAACGAUGAAUGCUAGGUGUUGGAGGGUUUCCGCCCUUCAGUGCCGCAGCUAACGCAUUAAGCAUUCCGCCUGGGGAGUACGACCGCAAGGUUGAAACUCAAAGGAAUUGACGGGGGCCCGCACAAGCGGUGGAGCAUGUGGUUUAAUUCGAAGCAACGCGAAGAACCUUACCAGGUCUUGACAUCUUUUGAUCACCUGAGAGAUCAGGUUUCCCCUUCGGGGGCAAAAUGACAGGUGGUGCAUGGUUGUCGUCAGCUCGUGUCGUGAGAUGUUGGGUUAAGUCCCGCAACGAGCGCAACCCUUAUGACUAGUUGCCAGCAUUUAGUUGGGCACUCUAGUAAGACUGCCGGUGACAAACCGGAGGAAGGUGGGGAUGACGUCAAAUCAUCAUGCCCCUUAUGACCUGGGCUACACACGUGCUACAAUGGAUGGUACAACGAGUUGCGAGACCGCGAGGUCAAGCUAAUCUCUUAAAGCCAUUCUCAGUUCGGACUGUAGGCUGCAACUCGCCUACACGAAGUCGGAAUCGCUAGUAAUCGCGGAUCAGCACGCCGCGGUGAAUACGUUCCCGGGCCUUGUACACACCGCCCGUCACACCAUGAGAGUUUGUAACACCCGAAGCCGGUGGCGUAACCCUUUUAGGGAGCGAGCCGUCUAAGGUGAGCAUUG